GUUAUUGCAAACAAUCAGACUAUGUUCUUAGGAAGAUUUGGAGUGAUUUCAUUCAAUUUAUCACAUGUAAGCAAAUGAUGACUAGGAAAUAGGAAUAGCAUAAAGUUAUUUGUGAAGUUGGACUGGCAAUUGUAUAUCUGUGCCUAUGGAGCUGAAAAGCCAAUUUGUUGGCAUACAUUUCGGUUUCUAGGUACAAUGCGCUAGAGUUUGGGUUGUGCACUAAUUGUUGUGGACAUCAAGCAGAAGACUUGUUUGGUUGAAAUUAGGUCUUAGGGGACACUUUAGUUGAUAAUUAAUAAACCUUGCAUAUUGUAUCUUUGAUGU
rnacentral:misc_RNA from 1 species